rnacentral:rRNA from 1 species
ACACGUAGGGGGCAAGCGUUGUCCGGAAUUACUGGGCGUAAAGGGUGCGUAGGCGGCUUUUUAAGUCGGGUGUGAAAUAUCAUGGCUCAACCAUGGAAGUGCACUCGAAACUGGAAAGCUUGAGGUCAUGUAAGGGAGACGGAAUUGCCAGUGUAGGGGUGAAAUCCUUAGAUAUUGGCAAGAAAGCCAGUGGUGAAGACGGUAUCCUGUACUGAUACUGACGCUGGGGCACGAAAGCUAGGGGAGCGAACGGAAUUAGAAACCCCAGUAGUCC